UUAAUAAACAUAUUCACUAUUAUUUAUUUUAAUUUAUUUUACCACAACAAACUGUAUGUAAAUUAUUUGUGUGUGUUAAUAUUUGUUCGGGCCACAGGAACCUAUGUAGUUGAGCCCCGGGGUCAAAAAGGUUAAGACUUUCCUCCUGCUUGCAAACAAAUAAUUGUCCCAAGGAAAUAACAUGUAUAAAUUAACAGUAAAAUUUAGUGUAAAACACUUUAUUUUACAAAGUACAAUGUCUUGCAGAUUGAGUUGAUUUCCUAUUUGAUAAAUAUAUUUAAAAUUAAUUUAAUAACAUUAAUAUUUUUUUUUUAAUCUGGAAAAAUCGCAAAAAAUAUAAGUAAAAUUAGACUUCGCCAUGAAAUAUAUUUCUACAUUUUUUGCGUACUUUACUUUAUUUGUUACAGUCUGUCGGCGAAGUGCAGGUAAACGUGACUUUGACGUCAAAAACUCACAGGAAACGUACACACAAGCAAAAAAAAAAAAAAAAAAAAAAUGCAGGACAGGCUGGCAUAUGAAGAAGCCUGAUUGGCAACCUGGAACAGAUGUGCCCAGCUUGCCAAUCAGGGACAGGUGAGUGAGACAGCGCUCGGUCCAGAAGAGUGGAACUAAAAAAAAAGGUAAUACAUUAAGAGAUAGGGAAAUAUACAAAGAAAAUCAAAAUAAAAUUAUUUUCUUAAAAAAAAAAAAAAAAAGUCAUCCUUAAGUCAUGUUACCCUACCCUGCGGAAUAUUCCACAAGUCACAAGAAGUUGCAUCAUUCAGACCCUCUGCAGGCAAUGGCAAUAACAAAGAACAGCAAGAUGGCGCCCGUCGCCUCGUGCGUCCGCCGCUGCUAAUGCUGCCGGAGCAAUGCAACGUGGACGUCUCAGGCUGCAGACCCGCUGGCACACAAACGUCGGUCAAAAGUUCCUCACAACAGAAUGAAAACACUUAAAGUUCAUUCUAUCAGGUGGGACACAAUGAAAUGGGUGGUUGAGCAGGCGCCUCCCACCAUUAAAGCACUAAAUACAAGCGGGGCGAGGAGGAGGAGGGUCCCACCAGGGAGGUGAAGGUCAGCAGGUUCCUGAUGAAGGACUCGCGUGGCGAUGGCAAGAUGGAGGCCAAAGAACACGGCAGGUUAACUUUUUUAUUUUUCAAACAGGCACAAGGUUAACAUCAGAAGACACAUAAUAUUAAUUUAAUAUGAAAAAUUCAAUCAAAUGAUUUUACAAGUAGAAAUUAUGAGCUCUCUUUACUUUUACUAGAUACAAAUCCUAAUAUCAUAUUUAAUACAACAUAAAUAUUUUGUCAGGGUUCAAAUGUCAUUAGUAGUAAUUACAUUAGUCAAAAAAUCCCAAAGACGGUCAAGUCCCCUCUCAAUAAGUCAGUAUUCUUUUUCAUUUAACAUAUAUUUUAAAAUGAUUUAUUUUUUUUAUUUUUUAUCCAACUGUAUUAUUAUUUUAUGUAUUCAUGUAUUUUAGGUCUUCUUAACCUCCAUAUUAAAUUGUAACAAUCUGCCCAUAUUAUAAAACACAGAUUUAAACAAGGGAAACGUGCUAUUGCACUUUAUUAUUUCACUUAUCUAUAGUUUUUAAGACUGAAUAUUUAGAAAUGUGUCAUGCAAUUGUGCAUGAAAUCUACCUUUUAAAGUCCAUACAGGAUAUUUAGCAACAUAGUAUUUUGAAAGUCUUGUGUUUGCAGGGCUACUACAAACAUUGCAAGA